GAAACUGUGAAGACCAGCUUCUGCAGACAAGAACCUCCCCACCUUUGGGCUGUUCUACCCUGAUUUGGCUCCCCUUUCACAUUCUGCCUGUCUGGGAAAUUAUGAGCAAAGAUAGCAACGGUAGACAAUUGACAUCUAGAAGCCACAAGGUUUUGUAAAGAUCAGGUCUGUACACCAUCCAAGGCACAGCAAUGGCUUUAUCUCUGGAAGAAUUUGUCCACUCCCUUGACCUAAGGACCCUUCCCAGGGUCCUAGAAAUCCAGUCAGGCAUCUAUUUUGAAGGGUCUGUUUAUGAGAUGUUUGGCAAUGAAUGCUGUUUGUCAACAGGAGAAGUGAUUAAAAUCACAGGUCUCAAAAUUAAGAAGAUAAUGGCUGAAAUUUGUGAGGGUGAUAUUGGAGAUUCUGAGUCUCUGAAACCGUUUGAGCUGCCCAUGAAUUUUCCAGGUCUCUUUAAGGUCAUGGCUGAUAAAACUCCAUACCUGACAAUGGAAGAAAUAACAAGAACCAUUAAUAUUGGACCCAGCAGACUAGGUCAUCCUUGCUUUUAUCACUUGAAGGAUAUAAAACUAGAGAAUCUCACUAUUAAGCAAGGUGAGCCAAUCCGGUUCAUCUCAGUUGAAGAGAUUAAUGGAGAAACACUGGUGAAUUGUGGUGUGGUCAGGAAUCACCAGAGCCAUUCAUUUACUUUGCCAUUGUCACAAGAAGGAGAAUUCUAUGAGUGUGAGGAUGAACAUAUCUAUACCCUAAAAGAAAUUGUCGAAUGGAAGAUUCCCAAGAACAGAACACGGACAGUGAAACUUACAGACUUCUCAAAUAAGUGGGACUCACCCAAUCCAUUCCCAGAAGACUUUUAUGGUACACUGAUUCUCAAGCCUGUUUAUGAAAUCCAAGGUGUGCUGAAAUUUCAAAAGGACAUAGUCCGGAUUCUCCCCAGUUUAGACGUUGAAGUCAAAGAUAUUACUGACUCUUACGAUGCUAACUGGUUCCUUCAGUUGCUGUCUACAGACGAUCUUUUUGAAAUGACCAGCAAAGAGUUUCCAGUAGUAGCUGAAGUCAUCGAAGUGUCUCAAGGGAACCAACUGUCCCAAAGUAUUUUACAGCCUGAGAAAACCAUUGUCAUCCACAAAAGGUACCAGACUUCGAGGAUCUUAGCUUCAGAAAUUCGCAGCAAUUUCCCUAAAAGACACUUCUUGAUCCCUACUAGCUACAAAGGCAAGUUCAAAAGAAGACCCCGGGAGUUCCCAACAGCCUAUGACCUGCAGAUAGUUAAGAGCAAGAAAGAAACUCUCCAUGUGGUAGCCACCAAAGCUUUCCAUACACUUCACAAGGAGCUGUCCUCUGUGUCUGUUGGAGAUCAGUUUCUAGUGCAUCAUUCAGAAAGCACAGAAGUUGUCUUUGAGGGAACAAGAAAAGUAAACAUUCUGACCUGUGAAAAAAUCCUCAAUAAGUCCCAUGAAGCAGCACGGCUUCCUCUGUAUAUGGAGGGAGGUUUCGUAGAAGUGAUUCAUGAUAAGAAACAGUACCAGAUUUCUGAGCUCUGCACACAGUUCUGCUGGCCCUUCAAUGUGAAGGUGGCGGUAAGAGAUCUCUCCAUUCAAGAUGACAUUUUGGCAGCUACCCCAGGACUGCAGUUGGAGGAGGACAUCACAGAUUCUUACCUACUUAUUAGUGACUUUGCAAAUCCUGGGGAAUGUUGGGAAAUUCCCAUGGGCCGCCUGAAUAUGACUGUUCGAUUAGUUAAUAGUAGUAGUUUGCCUGUGGAUGUAGGGCCACUUCAAGUUAGGAGUCUUGUAGAAGAGAUUACAGAAGAACAGUAUUACAUGAUGAGAAGGUAUGAAAGGUCUCUAUCACACCCCCCACCUCGCCCUCCCAAACAUCCCUCAGCUGAGGAAAUGAAGCUAACCUUGCUCAGCUUAGAAGAAGAGACAACAAUAAAUCUGCCUAAGUCUCCCAAGAAUCACCAUGUAGAGAGAGCCAAGAAGCUUCACCCAGAUCAAGUUGGUCAGAAAUCAAGAGUACCAGUUGGUUUUCAGAAUGAUUUGUCUGAUGUGGAGAGACAGAAGAGCAAGCAUGGGCCACUGCAGUAGCAAGCACCAAUUGACUACAGCUAAAUUAUUGGUCAAGCAGAUCUUCAGUUCAAUGUAAAACAGAAAAAAAUCACCCUGUAUUAUACUUGUGAUAUUUCCAAAGGAAUGUGUGGUAAAUGCCCCAAAAACUCUUCAAAACUGACAAGCAUCAAAAAUAACAAGAUGUGAUGGAAGCCACUUGGUUAGUGAACAUAAAUGUUGCAAUGAAGAAGGAAGUCUAGCCUUCUAGCUGAAAAACAACGAUUCCCCAAUGGACUCUGGAAGAAUCUGGACUGGCCACUGCAAAGACAAAAACAAGCUUAAAUGUUUUAGGACAUAAAUCUCAAAGAGAGACCCAUGAUAUGGAAUUUAAAUUGUCUAAUCAGUUUCCUAAAACCCACAGAUCUUGUUUUCUUGUUGUUUAAGACACAUUUAUUUAAUAUACAUCUUUUUAUGUCGCUUAUUUUAUCUAUCAACAACUGGCAAUUAGAAAUAAUUUUGUUCUUCAAUUAUUGAGUAAGAUUCUAUUUUUAAAAGUCUAAACUCUCAUUGAAUUUUCAUCCCUUUUUUUUUCUAGCAGUUUUUUUCCCAUUUUUUCCAGUUUCAUCAUCAUUUCUGCUACGACUCAAUAAGGAAAACUAAUUAUGUCUGACAGUCACCUAAAAUGGCCAAAUUUCUUUUCUGAUUCCUUGAGAACUGUGAAAAUGAGUUUGACUUCACAUUUUCAAUUUGUUUUAUAAAUACACUGUAAAUAAAUGUCAACUCUCAACAGCUAGCAUCAUUAUGAGUCACAGAACUUUCUGUAACCUCCUCUCUCUAUUUCUAAAAGGGAGAGUUGCUGACCAAAGAAACACCUCGGCUCUGAAAAAUUGCCUUGUAUUUUACAUACUAUAUUCUUGAUCAUGCUUCUAAUGAAUGCUUAUUAGAAUUGUAGCAAACCAUUUAGUUAACCAUAAUAUUUGAUGGGAAGAAAAAGGCAAUAUAACUGUAAUGAGCCUUAUAAAUAUAGUUGACAGAAGCCAAAGAGAUUAUUAAUGAAUUCACAAUAAAAUAGUACUUAUAGUUAUAUGCCUGUAAAAAUUAAAGGCAAACACAUUUUAUAAGUUUUCUUAUUAUGUGUUAAAUAUACAGGAAUAAUAUUACUUUGACUUUCUUAACAUGAAGAGAUUGAGAAUUUUUCUAGUUAGGUUACAUAGAGAAUAGUGGGAAGCUUUAGGUUUUGUUCGUAAGUCAGACUUUUUACAAAACUUUAAUCUUAUAAUUAAUUUAUGAGUUGGGAGAAUUUAUUUGAUGAUUUAGUACUGAAGAUUCUCUAAAGAUAGUACAUGAUGAGGUAAUAUUCAUUAUAUAAUCACAGCUGAAGAUCUUUUAUAAAAUGUUUAUAUUCUGAUUUCUUACCUUCUAUUAUCUUUUUUCUCUUUAAGUAAUAGCUAAUCUUGAUUUCAAUGCUUUAAAAUUGCUUAAUGACUUAAUUGUUAUCAUAUUAUGUAUCAAUAAUAAAAUUUUAGGAGAUUGUU